AACGAACGCUGGCGGCAUGCCUAACACAUGCAAGUCGAACGGGAUCCUAGCUUGCUAGGUGAGAGUGGCGGACGGGUGAGUAACACGUGGGAAUCUGCCUUUUGGUUCGGGAUAACCGCGGGAAACUGCGGCUAAUACCGAAUGCCCUCGAGAGAGGAAAGAUUUAUCGCCAGAAGAGGAGCCCGCGUCCGAUUAGGUAGUUGGUGGGGUAAAAGGCCUACCAAGCCGACGAUCGGUAGCUGGUCUGAGAGGAUGAUCAGCCACACUGGGACUGAGAUACGGCCCAGACUCCUACGGGAGGCAGCAGUGGGGAAUAUUGGACAAUGGGGGCAACCCUGAUCCAAGCAAUGCCGCGUGAGUGAUGAAGGCCUUAGGGUUGUAAAGCUCUUUUGCCAAGGGAAGAUGAUGACUGUACCUGGAGAAUAAG
rnacentral:rRNA from 1 species